CCUACGGGAGGCUGCAGUGAGGAAUAUUGGUCAAUGGGCGUAAGCCUGAACCAGCCAAGUCGCGUGAGGGAUGAAGGUUCUAUGGAUCGUAAACCUCUUUUUAAGGGAAUAAAGUGCGGGACGUGUCCCGUUUUGUAUGUACCUUAUGAAUAAGGAUCGGCUAACCCCGUUCCCGCAGCCGCGGUAAUACGGAGGAUCCGAGCGUUAUCCGGAUUUUUUGGGUUUAAAGGGUGCGUAGGCGGCCUUUUAAGUCAGCGGUGAAAGUUUGCGGCUCAACCAUAGAAUUGCCGUUGAAACUGGGAGGCUUGAGUAUAGUAGAGGCAGGCGGAAUGCGUGGUGUAGCGGUGAAAUGCUUAGAUAUCACGCAGAACCCCGAUUGCGAAGGCAGCCUGCCAGGCCAUGACUGACGCUGAUGCACGAAAGUGUGGGGAUCAAACAGGAUUAGAUACCCUGGUAGUC
rnacentral:rRNA from 1 species